UCAGCGUGGCCUCAGGUCCCGCAGGGUCACAGAAGGAUCGGGGGUGUCUGAGUGUUGCAGAGUUUGCAGGUAUUAGA